UUUAGAGCUAAGAGACACAUCUCUAAGCCACAGAACAUCUGACCAAAAAUGAUCCGGACACCAGACCGAUCAACGAACCAAGUUACCCUAGGGAUAACAGCGCAAUCCUCUUCCAGAGUCCAUAUCGACAAGAGGGUUUACGACCUCGAUGUUGGAUCAGGACAUCCUAAUGGUGCAGCCGCUAUUAAGGGUUCGUUUGUUCAACGAUUAAAGU
rnacentral:rRNA from 1 species